AUUGAACGCUGGCGGCAGGCCUAACACAUGCAAGUCGAACGAGUGGCGGACGGGUGAGUAAUGUCUGGGAAACUGCCCGAUGGAGGGGGAUAACUACUGGAAACGGUAGCUAAUACCGCAUACCAUCGGAUGUGCCCAGAUGGGAUUGGCUUGUAGGUGAGGUAACGGCUCACCUAGGCGACGAUCCCUAGCUGGUGUGAGAGGAUGACCAGCAACACUGGGACUGAGAAACGGUCCAGACUCCUACGGGAGGCAGCAGUGGGGAAGAUUGCACAAGGGGCGCAAGCCUGAUUCAGCCAGGCCGCGUGUAGGAAGAAGUCCUUCGGGUUUUAAAUUACUUUCAGCGGGGAGGCGGUACCCGCAGAAGAAGCACCGGCUAACUCCGUGCCAGCAGCCGCGGUAAUAC
rnacentral:rRNA from 1 species